GCUGCGUCUCCUCUUCUUCUUUGGUUUCUUCUUCUUAUUCCAACUUCCACCAGCUGACCAGCAGCAGCAGAGCCACCUUCAGCUUCCGCCACUUUCAGGUAAGCUGCUUCUUCUUUUUCCUUCUUCUUCAGUUCUUCUUCUUCUUUUUCCUUCUUCUUCUUCUUCUUUUUCCUUCUUUCUUUUAUUUCUUCUUUCUUUCCAGCCUGGCUGGCUUUUUCCGGCAGCAGAUUAGCCUUUUCCAGGCAGAUCUGACUUUCCGGCAGCCGCCGGUGACCCAAUUCCGGCAGGUUUUUUUUUUUUUUUUCAUUUUUCAUUAAUUUUUGCCUUCUAUUGUUAUAUAAACAGAUUUCAAUAAUGACAUCCCAUUCCGAUGGCAGAGAUAUAGGGUGGAAUUUUGGUAGAAAAGGUCCAACUCAACAUGAAGUUAUAUGUAAUUUUUGUGAAAAAAAGUAGCAAGGGUGGAAUAACCCGGCACAAACAACAUUUACUUGGUGUCGGAACAAAUUCUAAAGCUUGUAAAAAAUGUCCGGAAUCAGUUAAGACGGAAAUAAGAGCUUAUAUGGAACAAAAGAAUGUGGCAAAAACCCAAAUGAAUUUCGAUACAUGUGUGGCUGAUCAUAUGGAUGAUAGUGAUGAUGAUAUGGAUGAAGUUAAUGAAAUGAUGCCUCCUCAUCAAAAAUGGAAGACCGGGACGAAAGGUCCUAUGAAUCUUUAUUAUCCACAGAAGCCAAAGGAAGGGGCAGGUGACAGUUCGAGUAAUGAAAGAUACCGGAAGAUUUUAAGGGAUCGUGCUGUAGGUGCUUUUGCAAGAUGGGUCUACGAUGCAGGGCUCCCUUUUAAUUGUGUCAAUGCCAAAAGUUUUAAAAAAGUCAUUGACUACAUAGGAGAAUAUGGCCCUAAUAUGAAGCCUCCAACCUAUCACGAAGUUAGAGUUACUUGUCUAAAAAAAGAGGUGGAGAAAGUUGACGAGAUUGUGGAGGAACAUAAAGUGCAAUGGAGCAAGUUUGGAUGUUCCAUUAUGAUGGAUAAAUGGACAGCCCGGAAUGGAAAAAUGGUCAUCAAUGUUUUGGUAAACUCUCCAAAAGGUAGUUUGUUUCUUGGAUCAUAUGAUGCUAGCCACUCUUCUACGGAUUCCACUAAAAUGUACAGCUUGUUUGAGAGGACUAUUGAGUCAAUUGGAAAGGAUAAUGUUGUACAAGUGGUUACCGAUAAUGCUAGUGAGAAUGUAAAAGCAGGUCAAAUGAUGCAUGGCACAUUCCCACAUAUUUAUUGGACUCCAUGUGCUGCCCAUUGUAUCAAUUUGAUAUUUGGUGACAUUUUCAAGAUCAACCCGUAUGCUUCAGUUUUUAGCAAGGCUACUAAGAUGUAUGCUUACAUCAGUCAAAGGCCAUUGCUAUUAAACUUGAUGAGGAAGUUUACAAAUGAAAGAAAUUUGGUGAGAGACCGGGCAAGACUAGAUUUGCAACAGCUUUCUUGACUUUGCAUAGUUUUUACAUGCAAAAGAAAAACUUAAGAAGCCUAGUCACUUCAAAUGAAUGGAAACAAAGCAAACAUGCAAAGGAAAUUGCAGGGAAAGAGGUUGCGAGGAACAUUAUUUCUCCAUCAUUUUGGAAUGAUGUUUGUAAGGCACUUAAAGUUGGUGGUCCUUUGAUUAUCGUACUUCGUUUGGUGGAUGGGGAGAGAAAACCACCAAUGGGCUAUAUUUAUGAAGCUAUGGAUCUUUGCAAAGAAUCUAUUGCAAAGGCAUUUGGGGGUGAUGAGAGGAAGUAUGAAAAAGUUUUUAAGAUCAUUGAUAAAAGAUGGUCGGAUCAACUUCAUCGACCUUUGCAUGCAGCAGGACAUAUUCUGAACCCGGGUUAUAUUAUAAGAAUGCAGCUGCUGAAACUUUAGAUGGAGAAGUAUGGGAUGACUACAUUUCAUGUCUUGAGAAGUUGGUCCCUGAUCACAAUUUGAGAGAUAAAAUGUCGGUUGAGCUUGGUAAGUAUAGACAAGCAGAUGGGACAUUUGGUAAGGAAUCUGCCAUUAGAGCUAGAGACCGUUUGUCACCAGGUAAGUUAGUUGUUUUAGUUGUUUUUAUAACUUAUUUGAUUUCUUUAUACUUAAUACCUUUUGAAAUAUUUUUUCCGUAGUCGAAUGGUGGAUGCAAUAUGGUAACCAUGUUCCAGCCUUGCAAAAGUUUGCUAUCAAAGUACUAAGCUUAACUUGUAGUGCAUCCGGAUGUGAAAGAAAUUGGAGCGUCUAUGAACAUAUUCACUCCAAGAAGAGGAAUAGACUUGAGCUAAAACGUCUCAAUGAUCUAGUGUACAUUAAGUACAAUAGAACAUUGAAGCGUCGUUAUAAAGCUCGCGACACCAUUGAUCCAAUUAGGUUGGAGAAUAUUGAGGAGGUAAAUGAAUGGGUAACUGGAGCACCCGAAGACCUUGCAGAGGAAGAGUUAGAAGAUGAUGGUCUCACUUGGGGUGUUGUUGCUUCGGCAAGUGGAUGUGAGGAGAGUAUCUAUGGUCUUAGGGCGAGUUGUUCAAGUUCAAUGAACAAGGAUAAAGGGGUGGCUUCUUCAAGUCGAGCCCUCUUUGAUGAAGACUCUGAGGAAGAAGAAGAUGACAGCCAAUAUAAUGCUAACACUCUUGUGGUUGAAGAAUUUUUUUAGAUCUUGAAGAAGAAUAGAUGUUGCUUCGUAAUAAUUUGGUUAAUGCUAACACUUAGGGACCUUAUGACUUAUUAACUAUCUAGUUGGAGACUUUUAGACUUUAGUAUCAACUAUCAAUUAUCUAC